AGAGUUUGAUCAUGGCUCAGGAUGAACGCUGGCGGCGUGCCUAAUACAUGCAAGUCGAACGAGUUCUGAUUAUUGAAAGGUGCUUGCAUCUUGAUUUAAUUUUGAACGAGUGGCGGACGGGUGAGUAACACGUGGGUAACCUGCCCUUAAGUGGGGGAUAACAUUUGGAAACAGAUGCUAAUACCGCAUAAAUCCAAGAACCGCAUGGUUCUUGGCUGAAAGAUGGCGUAAGCUAUCGCUUUUGGAUGGACCCGCGGCGUAUUAGCUAGUUGGUGAGGUAACGGCUCACCAAGGCAAUGAUACGUAGCCGAACUGAGAGGUUGAUCGGCCACAUUGGGACUGAGACACGGCCCAAACUCCUACGGGAGGCAGCAGUAGGGAAUCUUCCACAAUGGACGCAAGUCUGAUGGAGCAACGCCGCGUGAGUGAAGAAGGCUUUCGGGUCGUAAAACUCUGUUGUUGGAGAAGAAUGGUCGGCAGAGUAACUGUUGUCGGCGUGACGGUAUCCAACCAGAAAGCCACGGCUAACUACGUGCCAGCAGCCGCGGUAAUACGUAGGUGGCAAGCGUUAUCCGGAUUUAUUGGGCGUAAAGCGAGCGCAGGCGGUUUUUUAAGUCUGAUGUGAAAGCCCUCGGCUUAACCGAGGAAGUGCAUCGGAAACUGGGAAACUUGAGUGCAGAAGAGGACAGUGGAACUCCAUGUGUAGCGGUGAAAUGCGUAGAUAUAUGGAAGAACACCAGUGGCGAAGGCGGCUGUCUGGUCUGUAACUGACGCUGAGGCUCGAAAGCAUGGGUAGCGAACAGGAUUAGAUACCCUGGUAGUCCAUGCCGUAAACGAUGAAUGCUAGGUGUUGGAGGGUUUCCGCCCUUCAGUGCCGCAGCUAACGCAUUAAGCAUUCCGCCUGGGGAGUACGACCGCAAGGUUGAAACUCAAAGGAAUUGACGGGGGCCCGCACAAGCGGUGGAGCAUGUGGUUUAAUUCGAAGCAACGCGAAGAACCUUACCAGGUCUUGACAUCUUUUGAUCACCUGAGAGAUCAGGUUUCCCCUUCGGGGGCAAAAUGACAGGUGGUGCAUGGUUGUCGUCAGCUCGUGUCGUGAGAUGUUGGGUUAAGUCCCGCAACGAGCGCAACCCUUAUGACUAGUUGCCAGCAUUUAGUUGGGCACUCUAGUAAGACUGCCGGUGACAAACCGGAGGAAGGUGGGGAUGACGUCAAAUCAUCAUGCCCCUUAUGACCUGGGCUACACACGUGCUACAAUGGAUGGUACAACGAGUUGCGAGACCGCGAGGUCAAGCUAAUCUCUUAAAGCCAUUCUCAGUUCGGACUGUAGGCUGCAACUCGCCUACACGAAGUCGGAAUCGCUAGUAAUCGCGGAUCAGCACGCCGCGGUGAAUACGUUCCCGGGCCUUGUACACACCGCCCGUCACACCAUGAGAGUUUGUAACACCCGAAGCCGGUGGCGUAACCCU
rnacentral:rRNA from 1 species